rnacentral:lncRNA from 1 species
GUAGAAUAGGGAGAGGAAAGCCUUGUUGAAAUACAGCCCGAGUCAUUUGCUUCACAGGCUGGGAUUCUUUCGGAUGCUGGUGCUAAUGGGUGAAGUCUGCCACUCUGAUGCUUGCGAGAGCCGUAGGAGACAGGUCAGGUUCCAGACCCGGACUCUGGAGGUCCUAAUCCUGCUGCCCUGGAUCCACCGGUCACCUCGGAGUCUUCACAGUUUCCCUCCGCAGGAGCCAGAAGGAGUUCUCAAAUAGUGAAAUGCUGGUGCAGGGCCCAGUCUCCCAGAGCUCCUGAACCUGGUGCACCUCCCACCCGCAAGCCCAUCCCAAGAUCCCACUAACACCAUUGCAACCCAGUUUGAAAGCACCAGGCCUGUGAGCAUUCUUUCAUUAUUAACAAUUGAAAAUGA